ensembl:lncRNA
AGAAGAGAAGAGAAGAGAAGAGAAGAGAAGAGAAGAGAAGAGAAGAGAAGAGAAGAGAAGAGAAGAGAAGAGAAGAGAAGAGAAGAGAAGAGAAGAGAAGAGAAGAGAAGAGAACUCUGAGAAUGCAGUCUGGUAUUUCAUUUGCCAAAUGAUAUAUAUCUUUUUACUUACUAGCUUGAUUCUCAACAUACGCAGAUUUUUGUGCCAAUGUGAAUGACUAGGUAGUAGUGAAUAGGCACACCAUAUAUAUAUAACUUGAAUUCAUUCUCUGAUGGACUCAAAGCAUGCCCAAGUGCAUGUAUUAACCCUGUUGCCAAUAUGCAGCCUAACAAAGUCCACGGAGGCCAGUGGAUGUUUGUACAUCUGGGCUGUCAAACAUUUAAAAUAAUUAGCCAGGGGAAAAUGUAUGAACAUGAAAGAAAAGGUCCUAUCUCCCAGUGACCAGAAGAAAUCUAUUCAUAUAGAACAAGAACUGAUAAAUGAAAUUCUGUUGAAAAAAAAAAAAAAAAACAAGAUGCUUGCAAAACCUUUGAAAUUAACAAAGUAAUCUGUUAGCAAACAAAAGCAGAGACAAGUUUCCAAGAUCCAACAUGCUAGGCCAAUGAAUUGGAACUGCAAUUUGAUGUAUACAUGCAAAAGGCAACUGGAAAGGUUAAUUUUUCAAACUGCGCUUCAAUAGAACUCUCUCUCUUUAAAGAUCAAAGAAGAAAUAUGCCCUAGCAUGGCCAGUGGAUGCUGCUGUGAAUUUAUGCUGUGCUUUAAGCAGUAGAUUACAGAGGCCAAAUACUGAAAGAAGAAAUGGAGUUUUAAUUGUAACAGUAAAUAAAUAUUGCCUUUUAAAAGCAAAUUAUUUUAUUUCAGAGAACUCUUACAGCAGCUACUCUGAAAAGUAAAAUUACCCCCUUGUCUGCAGGGUGGUAAACUUCUCCAUAGCAUCUUAACAGCAUACCUAAGACUUGUCUUCAUUAUGAAGUUGACACUUCCAGACAAAGUACGCAUAUAAGUCUUCGUUCUUUGCAAAAUAACAGUGUUGGAGAUUUUACUGAAGGGUUUAUGUCAGUGACGACGCAGUCUGGCCAAUGGAGGCCAUGUGAGUAAGGACAUUUGUUUCACAUAUACUUUUAUGAAUUUUUAUGUUCUGUGACUCAUAAGACUAUAGACUUAAAUUAAUGAUUUGGAGCAUUUUCUGUGUAGAAGUUUCUUAACUGUAUGUCAGAGAUUUAUCAUAUUCAAUAUACAUGACUUUCUGGCAAAAUAUAUCACCUGAUACUUGAAACAAAUCAUCUCCAUCUUCCUAAAAAUACCAAUGCAAUCAUUUUCAAUAAAAGAAAGAUCCAAAAUGCCUUAGAUCAGUAAAGGUCAGCUCACAGCUCACGGACACUUAUUGUCCCAGCCUUGUGGAGAUGUUACAGAUCUGGACAGAAUUUGUGAAUGGCACCAAGUGACAGAGAUUGCUCCUCUGAAGUGAAGAGUCAAAAGGAGGGUAUGUCAUGAUGGAAGGAGAAGUAAGGACAGCAUGUGUACUGAAGCCUGAUAACAAAAGAAAUGCUCCCAAGUUUGUACAACAAGUUCUAGAGAAGGUUGAGGUUGAUGUGACUUUCCAGGGAUGCUGAAGUGAGAGCAGCAGUACAUAUGUGCAUAUUUUCCAACAAAGUCUGCCUUUAUCUUAACUCAUUAGCUGCUUUAGCAUCUUUCUGUCCAUUCAUGGCAUUUUCCUUUGCCAUGGCAGGACCUCGGUCCUUGUUGCAGUGCACUCUUUCCCUGGCAGCUAUCUGCCCACAGAGUGGCCCUAAGAAGGGGGAAAGCCCUCCUUCUCCUUUAUUAUAUGUCCUAUAAAUUGUUGUCUUCAAAAAUUUCACUUCACUUUGAAUUUGGAUUCAGAAGCCUCCAUGAUAUUCUCUUUUUCUCUUUGAAUUAUUAUUUUUGCAGUUUUCACCUGAGUGUAUACAUCAUGGUCAGUGUAGGGGGAUUGAGGAAAUCAAGAACAGGUCUUCAACAAACAGAAGUAUUUAUAGAGGUGGAGCCACCACAAAGAGUCUGCUGCAGAGACAGGGACAUGUGUUCCAGUGUGGAGGAGAGAGAAGAGGGAUCAAAGGGGGAGAAAUCCUAACCAAAAGUCUGUACAAUUCUGAAGGAGUAUAUUGGCUCCCUCACUGGGUUAUUACAAACUCAAGCUGCCUCAGGUUCAGUCAGGAGGAUGAGAGAAAAGAGAAAAAGUGGCACUAACCUGGCAAGAGGUGAGCUUCAGCAUUCUUGCAAAGUUUGGUCUCUACCUUGGGUCCAUCCUGUCAAUGGUAUGAGUCAGGGAAAAGUACUAGCUCACAAAAUGGCAAUCUGCAGCUCUGAAGGAAGAGCUAUCUAUUAGAUAACGUCACGGCCUGUCAGACCCGUGACCUUUAAUUAAAGCAUGUGCAAUCAUGCUCUUCAGACCUCUGGGCAGUGAUAUUCAUCUCAAAAUGAGAUAUUUUCAGAGGCAGAAGACUGGUUGGCAACAGUUUUGAAGGAGAGGGGUGCUAGGUCAUUCUUUCUGAGGUCUUGGUUGAGUCCUGGUGAAUCAAUCGUAUCCUGGUAUCCAAAACUGUGGCAGAAAUCAGUGUCUGUGAUGGAGGCAAGUGACACCAGACUGACACAAGAGACUGAAGCCGAAGACAAAAUCUUUUUGUGCAUCGACUGUGUCUUGAACAAGAUACUGGCUGAUGCUGGCCCUCUGUGUCAACUGCAGUCUAACUAACUGCCCAGACGUGAUGUGUGUCCUUAGCUUUCUUCAGACAUUUUCCUGUCCUUUGUUUCAGUACCACUGAAAUGGGGCCAUAUUCUGUAAUAGAGCUGUAUGAGACUGCAGUGAAGACUGUGCACUGCCAUUAUCUUAGAUCUUCAUCCAAAAUGUUUGAGCUGUUAUCUGUGAACUGCAUGACUUCCUCGUCUUUAACUCUACAAAAUAAGCAAGGAGCUACAAGAUGUCCACAGAUCUCUAACUGGAAAUACAAAUACAAACACAGUACAUAGAUUCAAGACAGCACUUAGUGAAAUAUAUCUUCUAGCCACCAUGAUGAUGAAGUAGUAAAAAGAUCUUCCAGGUGAAAAGUCUAGUUGAUUAAGACAGAGUAGUAGCUCACAGUAAAUAUAUAACCUCAGAAGUUGUCAGUGCCAGCUAACUUACUCAAGAUGAAAUUUCUGAUGACUCCUGACUAAUCUGCCAGCUAUAUCAUUGCAAUUACACACGAUGAAUGCAAGUUUGCUUUAACAGAUGCAAUCCAUACUGCACAAGUGAAGUACGUGUAUGGAUAACCUUCUCCUUUCCCCCAGAUUCACCUUGUGUCAGUGUUCCUAUCCAUUUCAAUCUUAGCCACUUCAAUAUGUCAGCAAUGUUUACCAGCAUUGCAGACUGUAGUGAGUUUCUUGGGUGGCUGUUAAGCUUUGAAAAUAGCUGAAACUCCCACCUCACUGGAAGUUCACUGAAUGUGUUCCAAAGUGUGAUUCUAACCUAUAGAUAAGAACCACUGUGUCCUGUUAUCAUCAUGAAACCAUGCGGCCCCUGGAUUUUUCUUUCUUUCAUCUAUUUACUUUAACAUUUAGCUUGCCAAAAGAAUGCUUACCAGUCUUAUAUUAAAGAUAAUGCUGUUGUGAGAAAGUUAGAGGACAUUACCAACAUCUUUACUAAGAGCUGUGUGUCUUCAUGCAAAAUGUAGUAAGUCUUAAAAUGCUUUCCUGAUGCUCCUGUUUGUCAACGAGUUAAGUAAAUGUUGAUUUAGGGAUAUAUUUUCUACACACUUAACUCCCACUUUUGUCAUCUGCAUGUCUAAUCUAUGUGCAGUGCACUGUUAAUUUACCCCGUAGUGUUCCCAUAGAAUAUAAUUUGUAUGCACAUAAAUAUCAACGUGAUAUCUAGAGAUUAAAUCCAAUGGAAACAGUUUACUGUGAAAUCCAGUUUUUAUUCCCUCAUUUUUCCACUUCACUGACUGUUGCUUUUUGUAAAGUAGUCCUAGAGCUCUCCUGCACAGCCCUUCAUUAUACUGCAGUAUUUCUUUAUUUGGGAAAUAAAACUAAGAAGUAUUUUUAUUCAACUUAAUUUCCUAUAAUUGUAGGGAUGAUGUUAAGAUGGUUCUUCAGGAAAGAAAGUGCUAAUCAAUUUUAUUUCCAAAACACAUUGAAAUUCCACACAAAUUGGUGCCAGAGUGCAAAUGCUACUCAACCGGGAAUGGAGAAGGGAGACAAGAGAAAUACAUGUCAACUCCCACUUUAAUACAAAGGGUGCAAGAUAUAUUUUAUUUGAAUCAAAUACUAUUUAGCAAUGUAAGCAUCUGGGACACAUCCGAUAUCUUGGAUAAAACAUAUUGAUUUCCCUAUUGAUUUUUCUAAUAUACCUUCUCUAUGAGGGAGUUACAGUUGAAAGUAGCAAGUGACUCAGCUAACAUCAACUCUAAGAAGUGUGCUGAUGUUCUGAUGUGCAAAGUUGUUCGUUGCUGAAUUCCAAAAUGCUACGGAUCCUCACUUUUCACUUAGGUAAAAAAGAAAAAAGAAAAAGGGGGAAAAAAAAAAAGGUAUUGGUGUCUUUCUCCCUCAGCUUGCAGUGUUUGCAUUUCUUCUACAAUAUGAAUCUUUUAAUGCAUUCUUCUAUCAAUAUUAAUGAGUAGUUUUGCUCAUAAGCAGGAAGAUGUACACACAGACUGAGACAGUAUUACCUUCAGUAUAAGACUAUGAUACCAAAGCAAUUUGCAUGUUGAAGCAAUGCACAAGAAUGUGCACAACACCUGUGAGUUCCUAGUCAAGUCAUUUCCAGAAGUAGCUCUGAAAUGCUGAAGUAUUCGUGAUUCCCUUUGGGCAGUUUUAUGCAGUGGUAGAGAAGAACUCUUGCACUCCAGAAAGCGCAAAUUUCUGCCAUUGUUGUCAAUGAAGCCAGAAUUUCCUGGGUACAAAAUAAACAAACAAACAAAAGUUGCCACUGAACUCAUUGCAAGUGUUACUCUGCGUUAUUGGAUUUAGCCUUCCAGUUUCUUUUCUGUCAUUUAGAUCAGGCUCACAAAACGAGGCAGCCUGGAGUUAUACUUAGCAUUCUAAACCUUUGCAUACACUAAACAACACUUCAAAUAUAUUUUCCGAUGCAGGAGCACAGAUCUUAUAUUUCAGCUCUGAUGGUCCGAGGAUAGAUUCUGUAAUAGAGUACUCCAGGCCCCCAGAGCCCUUCCACCAGUUGCCAACACGAUUUUCUGCAAAUCCAAACCAUGAAGAAGAGGUUGAUCCCUCUCCUUGACACUGAUUUCAUGAAGGACAGGAGAGAUCUCUCCAAACAGUAGCAGAUUCCCUUGGCGUGGAGAGGACAGCCCCAGUGGCACCACUUUUAGCAUUCUCCUUGGCUGAAGGCUUCCUGGUGAAACUCCUGCAAGGCAGCACUCACCUCAUUCAUAUGGAGACUCUUCCAACUCCAUAAGCCAGAGUUUACCCUGAUAUAUUUUUUUCCUGGAUUCUCCAUUUUAACAAUAUUUUAGAAACAUUUAGAGACGUUAAGAGAAACGCAGCACCCAAUGAUUCUGAGGGAUGAACCCCAAGAAUAUGCAUUUGCAAAUAAAUGACAGGACGUAUUUUGGAAGAGGGGGAAAAAAAGACAGAGCAGGUUUCAGUGUGCUGUGUUCCAGGAAUCAUAAACAGCCCUGAAACUGUGACUGCUGGUAUUGGACCACCUGUGUGUGGGUGGAGAGCAGCGCGCUACCUGUGGGCUGCACACUAACCCAACACGCACCCCGGCUGCAGCUGAAAUCCAACCACGGCAGGCAGCGCAUCUCCUCCCAGGCAGCUCUUCAGAGCGUUAUAUAUAGUUCUACACGAAAAGCAACGGAUUUUCCUCUUAAGCACUCUUGAAUCCUGGAGUCUUUCUCCGUACGGCCCCGUCCUGGCAACAACGCACCCUCGCUCCGCCGCCUCGCCACAGCGCGGAGUCUCUACAGCCCGGCCCCGCCCGCCCUGCUCCGCCGCGAGCCACGCGGGGGCGCCAAAGCGCCGCUCUUCCCCCA